AUACCUUUCUCGGCCUUUUGGCUAAGAUCAAGUGUAGUAUCUGUUCUUAUCAGUUUAAUAUCUGAUAUGUGGGCCAUUGGCUCACUUGAUAUUAAUCUUAUUUUUUAUGGGGAAAGACCCAACACAAUAGCUUGCUAUUGGGGUCUUUGAGCGUCUUGCCUUGGCCUGGCGCACCCCUC
rfam:Helianthus annuus linkage group 3, whole genome shotgun sequence.